UUUAAAUGUAAAUUAAUAUUCCAAAUUAGUAUUAGUUAUGUUCUUGAAAUUUAAAAAAUUUGGCGGUAUUUUAGUCUAUUCAGAGGAACCUGUUCUAUAAUCGAUAGUCCACGAUUUACUUUACUUAAUUUUAAUAAUUUGUAUAUCGUCGUUUAUUAAUAAUUUUAUAAGAAUUUAAAUUUUUAGAAUUUUAAAUUAAUAAAAAUGUCAGAUCAAGGUGCAGUUUAUAGUUAAGAAGAAAUGGGUUACAAUAAAUGUAUUUAUAUGAAUUAAUGUAUAUAAAGUUAUUAUGAAGGUGGAUUUGAUAGUAAUAAGAUUUUCUUAAAUUUUAUGAUUUUAGCUCUAAAAUAUGU
rnacentral:rRNA from 1 species